UACGAAGGGAGCUAGCGUUGUUCGGAAUCACUGGGCGUAAAGCGCACGUAGGCGGAUUUGCCAGUCCGGGGUGAAAUCCCGGGGCUCAACCUCGGAACUGCCUUUGAUACAGCAAGUCUUGAGUUCGAGAGAGGUGGGUGGAAUUCCUAGUGUAGAGGUGAAAUUCGUAGAUAUUAGGAAGAACACCGGUGGCGAAGGCGGCCCACUGGCUCGACACUGACGCUGAGGUGCGAAAGCGUGGGGAGCAAACAGG
rnacentral:rRNA from 1 species